rnacentral:rRNA from 1 species
CCUACGGGAGGCAGCAGUGGGGAAUAUUGGACAAUGGGCGCAAGCCUGACCCAGCAACGCCGCGUGAAGGAAGAAGGCUUUCGGGUUGUAAACUUCUUUUGUCAGGGACGAAGCAAGUGACGGUACCUGACGAAUAAGCCACGGCUAACUACUCGCCAGCAGCCGCGGUAAUACGUAGGUGGCAAGCGUUAUCCUGAUUUACGGGGUGUAAAGAGCGUGUAGGCGGGAGUGCAAGUCAGAUGUGAAAACCACGGGCUCAACCUGUGGCCUGCAUUUGAAACUGUUGUUCUUGAGUACUGGAGAGGCAGACGGAAUUCCUGGUGUAGCGGUGAAAUGCGUAGAUAUUGGGGGGAACACCAGGGGCGAAGGCGGUCUGCUGGACAGCAACUGACGCUGAGGCGCGAAGGCGUGGGGAGCAAAAAGGAUUAGAUACCCGUGUAGUC